rnacentral:lncRNA from 1 species
GGGGUGAAUACAGACCGAUUAACCGAACCAUUAUUCUAUUAUUAAAACUGAACUGAUCUUAUCGAUUUUAUAAAAAACCAAAUCGAAACUGAAUCGGUUAGAUUGGCUAAUCGGUCAACUAGUUAUUCGAUCUGACCAGUUUGGUUUUUCAAUUUUUUGAUUUUUUUUCUAUGUAAAACAUGUUUCAAAUUGCAAAUAAGUGACAUAAAAGGCCAGUAAAUAAGGAUAGAAACAUCAUGUGAGAUAAGGAGAUGAAGAGAUAAGGACUCAAAGAGAGGGGGGUACAUGGCUAUGUGCACG